rnacentral:rRNA from 1 species
CCCAAGAGAUCGGGAUAACACCUGGAAACAGAUGCUAAUACCGGAUAACAACAGAUGAUGCCUAUCAACUGUUUAAAAGAUGGUUCUGCUAUCACUCUUGGAUGGACCUGCGGUGCAUUAGCUAGUUGGUAGGGUAACGGCAUACCAAGGCGAUGAUGCAUAGCCGAGUUGAGAGACUGAUCGGCCACAUUGGGACUGAGACACGGCCCAAACUCCUACGGGAGGCAGCAGCA